UUCUUCUGUUAUUAGUGAUGGAAUGAAUACUAGGUAGAAAAAAAAAAAUGGGGGAAAAAAACAGUACAUUGUCUUGGAUUUUGUAGGAUUACUCGACUUCAGUUGUGCUGAAUCAUUUUCUAAGCUUCUACAUUUAAUAAAGCAUUGUUACUUACUGAUAGAACGACUUGAUAGUUUAUGCAGCCAUUUUUCGAACCAGAAUACUUCACGAGUUAGGGAGAGGAAGGCAUUUGCCUUUUAAGGACAUGCAGCUUUAUUCUGUUGGUUCCUUUGAAAAUAACAGAAAUUUUAUUUUCUGAAUUGGUAUUAUGAUUUUACUUCUCUCCAUAAUGGGCCUUGGAUUUUACUAAUAGCAAAAGCAGAUUGCCCCUAACCUUUGAGCAAUUUUGUCUUCAAAGACAUGCUUUCAUUUUUUAUUACAUCCCAACAAAUGUCAGUUGAAUUAGUGAAACUAUGAAUUUUUUAUUUAAUGAUCCUACUAACUGAAAUGAAAAGCUGUUAUUAAUGCUCUUUCUUUAAAUACAUUCUGUAUCUCAUGAAAGUACUCAUGGCAAGAUCAUGGAAAAUUAAAUAAGGCAAUGAGCAGAAUCAACCAGCAUCACUGCUGAUUGCCUCAUUAAGACCCUUUACCACCAUGAAAGUCUUGGUAGAGCCUCUCCCUAUGGUAGUAUCCAUGACUUCUUUUUCCAAAUUGCAUAAACACUGAUUGAAUUCCUGUCACCUCUUUGGGAAAAUGAAUUUCAUGCUUUUCUCACUACUAUAUGAAAUGCUUAAUCUUAUUUGUCCUAAUUUUAUUCAUUUUGGGAAAAACA
rnacentral:lncRNA from 1 species